rnacentral:tRNA from 1 species
UCCCAGUUGGCGCUAGUGGUAAAGAAUCUGCCUGCAAUGCAGGAGACCCAGGUUUGACCCCUGGGUUGGGAA